AAUGAACGCUGGCGGCGUGCUUAACACAUGCAAGUCGUGCGAGAAAGCGGCUUCGGCCGUGAGUAAAGCGGCGAACGGGUGAGUAACACGUGGACAACCUGCCUGGGAGUGGGGGAUAACCUGGGGAAACUCGGGCUAAUACCGCAUUCGCCCCCGAGGCUUCGGCCGCGGGGGGAAAGAUGGCCUCUGCUUGCAAGCUAUCGCUCCCAGAGGGGUCCGCGCCUGAUUAGCUAGUUGGUGAGGUAACGGCUCACCAAGGCGACGAUCAGUAGCCGGCCUGAGAGGGUGAUCGGCCACACUGGGACUGAGACACGGCCCAGACUCCUACGGGAGGCAGCAGUGGGGAAUAUUGGACAAUGGGCGAAAGCCUGAUCCAGCAACGCCGCGUGGAGGACGAAGGCCUUCGGGUCGUAAACUCCUGUCAGGUGGGACGAAAGGCGAAGGGUUAACAGCCCUUUGCCCUGACGGUACCAUCAGAGGAAGCCCCGGCUAACUCCGUG
rnacentral:rRNA from 1 species